GCUGGGCAUGGUGGCACAUGCCUGUAAUCCCAGCAAUUUGGAGGCUGGUGCAGGAGGAUUGCGAGUUCAAAGCCAGCCUCAACAGAUUAGCGAGACACUUAGCAACUCAGCGAGACCCUGUCU
rnacentral:sRNA from 1 species